rnacentral:rRNA from 1 species
UAGAGUUUGAUCAUGGGUCAGGAUGAACGCUGGCGGCGUGCUUAACACAUGCAAGUCGAACGAUGAAGCCCAGCUUGCUGGGUGGAUUAGUGGCGAACGGGUGAGUAACACGUGAGUAACCUGCCCUUAACUCUGGGAUAAGCCUGGGAAACUGGGUCNUAAUACCGGAUAGGAGCGCCCACCGCAUGGUGGGUGUUGGAAAGAUUUAUCGGUUUUGGAUGGACUCGCGGCCUAUCAGCUUGUUGGUGAGGUAAUGGCUCACCAAGGCGACGACGGGUAGCCGGCCUGAGAGGGUGACCGGCCACACUGGGACUGAGACACGGCCCAGACUCCUACGGGAGGCAGCAGUGGGGAAUAUUGCACAAUGGGCGCAAGCCUGAUGCAGCGACGCCGCGUGAGGGAUGACGGCCUUCGGGUUGUAAACCUCUUUCAGUAGGGAAGAAGCGAAAGUGACGGUACCUGCAGAAGAAGCACCGGCUAACUACGUGCCAGCAGCCGCGGUAAUACGUAGGGUGCGAGCGUUAUCCGGAAUUAUUGGGCGUAAAGAGCUCGUAGGCGGUUUGUCGCGUCUGUCGUGAAAGUCCGGGGCUUAACCCCGGAUCUGCGGUGGGUACGGGCAGACUAGAGUGCAGUAGGGGAGACUGGAAUUCCUGGUGUAGCGGUGGAAUGCGCAGAUAUCAGGAGGAACACCGAUGGCGAAGGCAGGUCUCUGGGCUGUAACUGACGCUGAGGAGCGAAAGCAUGGGGAGCGAACAGGAUUAGAUACCCUGGUAGUCCAUGCCGUAAACGUUGGGCACUAGGUGUGGGGACCAUUCCACGGUUUCCGCGCCGCGAGCUAACGCAUUAAA